UACGUAGGGGGCUAGCGUUGUCCGGAUUUAUUGGGCGUAAAGAGCGUGUAGGCGGCCAGGUAGGUCUGCUGUGAAAACUCGAGGCUCAACCUCGAGACGUCGGCGGAAACCAUCUGGCUAGAGUCCGGAAGAGGAGAGUGGAAUUCCUGGUGUAGCGGUGAAAUGCGCAGAUAUCAGGAAGAACACCCGUGGCGAAAGCGGCUCUCUGGGACGGUACUGACGCUGAGACGCGAAAGCGUGGGGAGCAAACAGG
rnacentral:rRNA from 1 species